UGCGACCCCAGGUCGGCGGGACUACCCGCUGAGUUUAAGCAUAUCAAUAAGCGGAG
rnacentral:rRNA from 1 species